UACUAGUGUUGUCAAAUCGUACACUUUUGCCUAACCGGUUACUCGGAUAAUCGUUCGACCGAUUAACCGGUUAACCGGUAGUUUAAGUUGAUGUUUGAAAGCCUUAUCAACAGAACCCUACACAUAGAUAUAAGAUGUGGUAUGAGUGUCAAUUUGACAACCUUUCAUCCAAGACAUAAAUACGCUUUUAGAAUUGAAGUUUUUCCUUUAGCAUUAUAAGGCUUGUCCGUGGGGAUUCCUGGCGAAAUUUGACUUUUAAUAAUCAAAUACACCGUAUCAACUAUAGCGUUUGUUCAGAUUGAAAAAAAAAUCUUAAUCUCGUAGAAUUGAAUAUGUCAUAUGUCUGAAACCGAUUAUUCUUUCCUUUUCUCUUGUUGUCUCCGAAAAUAAUGUGGUGUGUUUCAAUUUGAAAUGAUUAAUUAUAAAAAGAGAAGAUGUGGUAUGAUUGCCAAUAAGACAAUUCUUCACAAGAAACCAAAAUGACACAGAAAUUAACAACUAUAGGUCAUCGUACGACCUGUUUCUUUACUGUGUUUGCUUUUUUCUUUAGGCGUGUUAUUCGUACUUACACCUACAUUAAUUGAGUACAUGCACAUUGGUUUGCAUUUUACAAUUUUUUAAUGUAAAGUAAGACUAACCCUUGCACUACGGAGGUUGCACAUUUAGAUGUAGGUUUACACAAUAUUAGAUCAAAAACGAAAUAAUGAAGUAAUUAGUAAAAUUUAAUCUCAUUACUGAUUUAAAGUUACUGUUAAAAAACAUGUAUACUAAUUAUGUUUCUUUAAGAUCCUGCCCCGAACUCUAAUUAAUUUUAUGUUUUUAGGAUUAACAAUAGCAAUCAAUAUACUGGACAAUUGAUCUGUCAAAUGAAUUACCACGACGACAAUUUUAUGAUUUCAAUACAGAUUUAUAUCAAAUCUAUCAAAAUUGAAAAAAGUCCGGUUGACCGGUUAGCGUUUUUGGUAUUCGGUAUUCGGUCGUUCGACCGAUUAACCGGUUAACCGGUUAACCGUUGACAAC
rnacentral:lncRNA from 1 species